CCUUUGGCUCUUUUCAGGGCCACCAAAUGUGUGUAAGAGUAAUAUU
rfam:Aedes aegypti strain Liverpool supercont1.2 genomic scaffold, whole genome shotgun sequence.